rnacentral:tRNA from 4 species
GCCUCUGUAGCUCAGUCGGUAGAGCAGAGGACUGAAAAUCCUCGUGUCGGUGGUUCGAUUCCGCCCGGAGGCACCA